AUGGGGUGGGUGUUGAUGAGGCCGCAGUGACGAUUUUCUGCUCUGAUGUCUCAACGGAUGUUUCCUCAACCGGCGUUGGCACGUUUCUCUUCUUGAAAAAAAGAAGCAGAAGGGAGGCCUGUGAGGGGGUUUGGGUGAAGAGAAGCUAUAGAAACAGGAGCUAUUCUCCUGGCCAGGAGUCCUCUGCUGCAAGCCUGCAGCAGUAUGACUGCCUCUCUCUUCUGCUUCCAGCCUUUCCUCUCCCGGUAGCCCCGAACCUACAGUACAUCAGAAAUGAAUCAUUAUAGUAUAAAUAAUGAACUAAUCUUUUUCUUUAAAUGUUUUUGUUGCAAAAGCACUGACAAUAAUAAUAGGAGUGAAACCAAAAUAUAUAUGUUCAUUUUCAUUACAACAAAGGUACUUGGGACAUCAAAAAUGAUUAAUAAAACAACACUGUAAAUGAAUCUAUGUAUAGUAAGAACCUG